GACGAACGCUGGCGGCGUGCUUAACACAUGCAAGUCGAACGGGGUCCAGUCUGUAGCAAUACAGAGGAAGACCUAGUGGCGAACGGGUGAGGAACACGUGAGAAACCUGCCCCGGACUUUGGGAUAACAGUUGGAAACGAUUGCUAAUACCGAAUGCCGUUGCGGAGUCGCAUGGCUCUGCAACGAAAGAAUUUCGGUCCGGGAGGGUCUCGCGGCCUAUCAGCUAGUUGGUGGGGUAACGGCCUACCAAGGCAUCGACGGGUAGCUGGUCUGAGAGGAUGAGCAGCCACACUGGGACUGAGACACGGCCCAGACUCCUACGGGAGGGAGCAGUGGGGAAUCUUGCGCAAUGGGCGAAAGCCUGACGCAGCAACGCCGCGUGCGGGAAGAAGGCCCUCGGGUUGUAAACCGCUUUCAGCAGGAAAGAAAAUGACGGUACCUGCAGAAGAAGGGGCGGCCAACUACGUGCCAGCAGCCGCCGUAA
rnacentral:rRNA from 1 species